AUUGAACGCUGGCGGCAGGCCUAACACAUGCCAGUCGAGCGGAGCGGCGGACGGGUGAGUAAUGCCUAGGAAUCUGCCUGGUAGUGGGGGUUAACGUCCGGAAACGGGCGCUAUUACCGCAUCCUAUCAGAUGAGCCUAGGUCGGAUUUGCUAGUUGGUGGGGUAAAGGCCUACCAAGGCGCCGCUCCGUAACUGGUCUGAGAGGAUGUUCAGUCACACUGGAACUGAGAUACGGUCCAGACUCCGACGGGAGGCAGCAGUGGGGAAGAGUGGACAAUGGGCGAAAGCCUGAUCCAGCCAUGCAGCGAGGGUGAAGAAGGUCUGCGGAUUGGAAAGCACUUUAAGUUGGGAGGCGUUACCAACAGAAUAAGCACCGGCUAACUUCGUGCCAGCAGCCGCGGAAUAC
rnacentral:rRNA from 1 species